GGUCUAGUGGUAGAAUUCGUCGUUGCCAUCGACGAGGCCCGUGUUCGAUUCACGGAUGAUGCA
rnacentral:tRNA from 1 species